ensembl:snRNA LOC120094527 U2 spliceosomal RNA
AUCUCUUCUCGGCUUUUUGGCUAAGAUCAAGUGUAGUAUCUGUUCUUAUCAGCUUAAAUGCAUUAGUCCUUUUAAAGGAGCACUCGUAAGCAUAU